rnacentral:lncRNA from 1 species
GUGUACAUCCACAUAUUUGUUACAUACCUUCUCUCCCUUUCAGUCCAAAACCACUGCCACUCAUCUCAUCCGGUUUGAAGAUCAGUACCAACCACCGCCGACGAAGGCAGUCCUAAAACGUUUAAACCCUAAAAUCAAACCUCUCGAAAUACGGUGAGCAAAGAAGUUGUCAAGGUUUAUGUUAAACCUAAGAAAAGGCCAUACCCCUGUUUCUUCGUGUCUUUCUCAGUCAGAGGAUGAGGUGUGGACCCGUUGGGGGCUAUGAUCUAUGAUGAAACUGGUGACGCAAAUUAUGACUUGGUUUACUUAUGUUCCGUGCUCUACCUGUGAACAAUGUGGCAAGCAUCAGGUAGUUUUACAUUUAUGGUUGAAUGGAUAAUAGACCGAUAUGAGGCAAACGGGUCAGUCGCGUAACGGGUAAAAAGACAAACUUUUAUACGGGUAUUAGUUGUGCAAAGAGUGAUCAGUUUCAGCCUUCGGGUUUAUAGAGAUUGAGAUGAGAGAAUAUCACAGACUUUGAUUAAUCAGAUAUCACAUGAGAAAGAAAAUGAUACAUAAGUGUUUUUACGCUGAUAAAGAAGGUUGCAGAAAAGGGUAUAGCUUUGUUUUGUACAUCUUGGAUGUAUAGGUUAGGCGAUGUAACUAUGGAACAUUGGUGUAACAAAUGCAUGGGUUUAUUUGGUAUGACACAUAUGAAUAGCUCACCGCCGUAUUGCGGCGGGUAAUAAAUCCUAGU